GGCGACGAUCCGUAGCUGGUCUGAGAGGAUGAUCAGCCACACCGGAACUGAGACACGGUCCGGACUCCUACGGGAGGCAGCAGUGGGGAAUAUUGCGCAAUGGGCGAAAGCCUGACGCAGCCAUGCCGCGUGUGUGAAGAAGGCCUUCGGGUUGUAAAGCACUUUCAGUGGGGAGGAAAGGCUCAAGGCUAAUAUCCUUGGGAGUUGACGCUACCCACAGAAGAAGCACCGGCUAAUUCCGUGCCAGCAGCCGCGGUAAUACGGAAGGUGCAAGCGUUAAUCGGAAUUACUGGGCGUAAAGCGCGCGUAGGCGGCUUGGUAAGUCGGAUGUGAAAGCCCCGGGCUCAACCUGGGAACUGCACUCGAUACUGCUGAGCUGGAGUACGAAAGAGGGGGGUGGAAUUCCAGGUGUAGCGGUGAAAUGCGUAGAGAUCUGGAGGAACACCGGUGGCGAAGGCGGCCCCCUGGUUCGAUACUGACGCUGGGGUGCGAAAGCGUGGGGAGCAAACAGGAUUAGAUACCCUGGUAGUCCACGCUGUAAACGAUGUCUGCUAGCCGUUGGGAUCCUUGAGGUCUCGGUGGCGCAGCUAACGCGAUAAGCAGACCGCCUGGGGAGUACGGCCGCAAGGUUAAAACUCAAAUGAAUUGACGGGGGCCCGCACAAGCGGUGGAGCAUGUGGUUUAAUUCGAUCAACGCGAAGAACCUUACCACCCCUUGACAUCCAGAACUGCCCAGAGAUGGGCGGGUGCCUUCGGGAGCUCUGAGACAGGUGCUGCAUGGCCGUCGUCAGCUCGUGUCGUGAGAUGUUGGGUUAAGUCCCGCAACGAGCGCAACCCUUAUCAUUAAUUGCUACGCAAGGGCACUCUAAUGAGACUGCCGGUGACAAACCGGAGGAAGGUGGGGAUGACGUCAGGUCAUCAUGGCCCUUAUGGGUAGGGCUACACACGUCAUACAAUGGCCGGUACAGAGGGCUGCCAACCCGCGAGGGGGAGCUAAUCCCGGAAAACCGGUCGUAGUCCGGAUCGCAGUCUGCAACUCGACUGCGUGAAGUCGGAAUCGCUAGUAAUCGCGGAUCAGCUUGCCGCGGUGAAUACGUUCCCGGGUCUUGUACACACCGCCCGUCACACCAUGGGAGCGGGUUCUGCCAGAAGUAGUUAGCCUAACCGCAAGGAGGGCGAUUACCACGGCAGGGUUCGCGACUGGGGUGAAGUCGUAACAAGGUA
rnacentral:rRNA from 1 species